UACGUAGGGCGCAAGCGUUUGUCCGGAAUUAUUGGGCGUAAAGAGCUCGUAGGCGGUUUGUCGCGUCUGCCGUGAAAUCCCGGGGCUCAACCCCGGAACUGCCUUUGAUACUGCAAAUCUCGAGUCCGGAAGAGGUGAGUGGAAUUCCUAGUGUAGAGGUGAAAUUCGUAGAUAUUAGGAAGAACACCAGUGGCGAAGGCGGCUCACUGGUCCGGUACUGACGCUGAGACGCGAAAGCGUGGGGAGCGAACAGG
rnacentral:rRNA from 1 species